GGCCAUGUGGUGUAAUGUGAACACGCCUCUCAGUAUCCAAAGGAAAUGUUGGUUCGAUUCCAGCCAUGGCCU